rnacentral:piRNA from 1 species
UUUUCGCUGAGGAGGCUUCUGUGGACACC